AUGGCUUCGCUCACUAUGCUAGUAUGUAAGACGAUCUGGGACGAGAGGAACGCAAGGGUUUUUCGCAGCAAGUCGCCCCUCCCCCCAACUAUUCUUCUUCGAACCAUCAAGGGAGCGGCGGGGCUUUGGGCGACCGCGGGAGCAAAGAUUUUGGGGCACAUCAUACCGGGAGAGUAG
rnacentral:rRNA from 1 species